rnacentral:misc_RNA from 1 species
AUGAUUGUUUUCUGCUGGCUUUUUGAGGGAGGUUUUCCUUGCAUUAGGGGAAAACUCUUUCUUCAACAUUUCCCCCUGCAUCAUAGCGGCUCCUCUUUCUUGGUUCAUGAAUGUAGGAAAAUUAUCUCUUGAGAAUUCACUGAUGAUAAUGCUUUUGAUGAUUUUUUGCAUUCUAGUUCAUAUAAUUAUGUGUUUUUGUGGCUUAUACUUUACAGUUCA